rnacentral:piRNA from 1 species
UUUUCUGAGCAAGACAUAAUA